rnacentral:lncRNA from 1 species
AAAUGCUCUUUCUGGGACCUGCGACUUUACUGAGUCCUAUGGAAAGAAGAGGCCCCAUUUUUACUGGGACAUGAACGUGUCUCAUGGUUGAGCAUUUUGCAGUGCUGUUGCCAUUGCUUCCCAGGAGCAUGAUUUUUGUGUACUGUCCUCCAGAGACAGGCCAUUGUUUCUCCUCUCAACUUCUCAGCAUUUUUCAGCACAUGGAGAAAUUCUUGAUGUUUUCUUCAGUAUCGUAUUCACCCAAAUGUAAACUAAGAAUGCAGCCUCUUCACACAUCCCCAGUCCACAGAGUUUUCAGUAUCUGAACAGCUUUUUCACAUCUAUACACACUCCCCUUCUGAGCUGCCCUCUCACUGUGAGCCACAAAUCUGCACAGCAUCCCUGACUACUUAUUAAGCUCUGAAAAUGUGUUCACUAACAUAAAGAUCAACUGAAGGCAAUGGCUUCUCUGGAGAGCUUAAUAAAAAUGCAUAAAGGAGAAAGACA